AUUAUUACUAUUUUCGUAAUCCAACCCGAUCGACCCCUCGAAAUUUUUAGCAUUCUCCGACACCACCAACUGUACUCCCUCCAAUGGCGGCGCGUCGAGCUCGCCGGCGGUGACACUACGGCGACACGAGACGCAGUGUAAAUCCCACAUUGAUUCGCCGCCGAUGACUCUUCACCGUCGCCCUAACCGUGGCCCGACGUCCUCCUUCCCAGCCGCCGCCGCCGCCGCCACCAGUUUCUCCCCCUGCUCCCUCCUAUUCCUCUUCUGCUGCUUCUCAUCCCUCCUCCGAUCCUCUGAAGCCCUCGUCCACCUCCGCUCCAAGCCCUUCUCCUUCACCUUCCUCGACGCCCCUGCACGUUUCGCUGUUCCGGUCGAUGGAUUCGGGAUCUGCGGCUCUCUGCACGUUGCGGAACCCCUUGACGCUUGCUCUGGUCUCAGGAAUAACUGGACGGCCCUCGGCGACGGUAGGGGUGGAGAUUCGAGGUUCGUUCUGAUCUCCAGGGGGGUGUGCAGCUUCGAGGAGAAGGUCAGGAACGCACAGGGUGCUGGAUUUGGGGCUGCCAUAAUAUUCGAUGACCAGGAGAAGAACAGCUUGUACGCCAUGGUUGGAGAUUCAGCUGGCAUACAUAUACAUGCAGUUUUUGUUUCAAAGAUCGCAGGUGACACUCUGAUGAAGCAUGCCCGUGGGGAAGAAGGGGAAUGUUGCAUAGGAUCCUCCAUGGAUGAAGCUACUGGAACCAUCCUGGUUAUAUCUUUUGCAUCUCUGGUAUUCAUAAUAAUAGUACUUGCUGCAUUUUUGUUGGCUAGAAACUGUCAGCUUCUUCGGCAUCGAAUACAAAACCCACCUGCAAGCAUGAAACAAGAAGCAGUCGAGCUACUUCCCUGCCUCACAUUUAGAACUGCAUUCUUAAGUAGCAAACGAACAGCCGAGACCUGUGCUAUUUGCCUUGAAGAUUACAAAGAUGGAGAGUCUCUGAGAGUUCUUCCUUGUCAACACGAUUAAUGAAUUGACCUAGGUCGGUUACCAAUUGACAUGGCUGGGUCAAUGUCAGAGUCGGUAUGCAGUUCGACCAAUUGAUCCUUGUUCUGACCACUGAACCGACUUCCAUUUGGUGUGUGUGGAUUCAUGGUUAACCAAGUGGGGAACAUUUUGCCCAGUCUGUAAACAUGAUAUGCGCUCAUGAUAAUGGUUUUCCACUCGAGUA